rnacentral:rRNA from 1 species
CAAUAGCGUAUAUUAAAGUUGUUGCAGUUAAAAAGCUCGUAGUUGGAUUUCUGGUAGGAGCGACCGUGCCGGACUUGAUUGUUCGAGUAUUGUGUUGUCUUCAGCCAUCCUCGUGGAGAACUUUUCUAACAUUAACUUGUUGGGAUUGGGACCCGCGUCGUUUACUGUGAAAAAAUUAGAGUGUUUAAAGCAGGCAUUAGCUUGAAUACAUUAGCAUGGAAUAAUAAGAUAGGACUUUGGUACUAUUUUGUUGGUUUGCAUACCAAAUUAAUGAUCAACAGGAACAGUUUGAGGAUAUUCGUAUGAACAUGUCAGAGGUGAAAUUCUUGGAUUUUGAUCAGACGAACUACUGCGAAAGCAUUUAUCAAGGAUGUUUUCAUUAA